UGGAAGUAAAAGUCGUAACAAGGUCUCCGUAGGUGAACCUGCGGAGGGAUCAUUACUGAGUGAGGGCCGCAACGGCUCGACCUCCAACCCCUUUGACCGCUCCGUCCGCGUUGCCUCGGGGGAGUGGCGCCCGGCGUCUCGACGCCGGGCGUGCCCCCGGUGGAUACUUAUUAACCCUGUGUACCUGUCGUCCUGUAUUAUAAGAAUUGAAUCAAAACUUUCAACAACGGAUCUCUUGGUUCUGGCAUCGAUGAAGAACGCAGCCAAAUGCGAUAAGUAAUGUGAAUUGCAGAAUUCAGUGAAUCAUCGAAUCUUUGAACGCACAUUGCGCCCCUUGGUAUUCCGGGGGGCAUGCCUGUCCGAGCGUCAUUCGCGCCAAUCAGCCCGGUCUGGUUUUGGGCGUCGGGAUUCGUCCCUCGCCUUAAAGUCUUCGGUGGGAUCGCAUUGUACCCUAGCGCCGUGGACACGUCAAAGUGCUCGCUAGUAGGGGAAUGGGAUCCUCGCUGUGAAACCUUUUCAAUCAGGUGGACCUCGGAUCAGGUAGGGAUACCCGCUGAACUUAAGCAUAUCAAUAAGCGGAG
rnacentral:rRNA from 1 species